rnacentral:siRNA from 1 species
CCAGCUGACUCUCCGACCAUCGU